UGAAAUAAAAAACAAAAAAAAAGUAUAUGUAUAUGUAAGUAAGAGUGGAAUAAAGAAUGAAAUAAUAAUAAGAGGCAAGAAAGAUGAUGAGCAAAAGAAUUUUAGCUAAAGGACCUUGAAGCUAACCCAUACGUUAGCUUUUAUUAGUCGGAUGAGUAUGGAGAGAAAAACGACAAGAAAGAUUGUCGGUAGAGAAAGGGAAUAAAGUAUACAUUCGUAUAUCAGUAUUUAUAUAUACGUGUAGUCGCACAUAUACGAUAUCUGUAUUAAAUUUCCAGGAAUAAUAGUAGAGAGUUUUACAAUCGACUAGGUACUUGAUAAUGUGAAGCAAGAACUACCAAGAUUAAAAGAACAAAAAAGUCACCAAGGGAGGAACAGAAACAAUAACAACAAGAACAAGACUAUCAACAAACAACAACAAUAACAACAGGACGCCGCUGCCGCUGCUUAUUUGAAUUCUAAUUUAUAAAACCUAACAUUUAAUACAUGUAUUAUUUUCUGUUGACCGAUAUAAUAUGAACCAGUCACGAACAGACGCCAUCUGACACAAUGUAUUCUUUAUUAUCACUCCCAGUAUCAUGAUCAAAAAGUUGAGGUUUCGAGUAUGGGUUACGCUGAUCAAGUAAUCCUAAUCUAAAAACAGUAUCUAAAAAUUUUGAUCAAGCAAUUAUAAAUAUUUAGAUACUCGGAAACGUGAUACGUCCAGCUGCACCUGUCUUCUGAUGUUCUGGUGAGCAUAUCAUCUGCCUGAGUAAAGUACAAGAUCUUAAUUCUUCGGCUGAUCCUUUUUACGCAAUUUGCCGUGUCUCAAUACCCGGUUCUCAGAAAAAUCCUUAACCGAAAUGACAAGUAAAAAAAAAAAAAGGAAGAAAUAAUAAAAAUGAAAUAUAUAUCUUUUUUGCAUGACAAUUGGUUAAUGAUUUAACGAAAAAAGGAUCUCAGUUUACGGCAGACAGCAGGAUCGCCAUCAGGUAUAAAUACGACGUAAAUACGUCGACUGGACACUCAAGACAAAGAAAAAGAGAGCCGAGAUAGUGGAGACUCAUGGUUGUAGACCAGAGUAAAAAUUGCUAUCCUAUACCAGAGUUUAGAUAUAGGAAACUAAUAUAUAAGAAGUGAACCAAAGUAUAAAGAUUUGCCGGCGGGUUCCUGGGCAAUGGGCAGCUAGAAGCUAGCAGUCCAAAAUAUGAAGGACGCUGAGCAAGAAAUUUAAAGGUAAUCUUAACGAAAGAACUGAAGAGAAUAGCAGGAGGAAGAAUAAGAUAAAGAAGAAGUAGAAGAUGCCCCAUGGAUGGAAGAUUUGGCCGCCAAAAGCGAGCUUAUGUACUAGAGUAUCUCCAUCUGUGUUGUACCCAUACACGUCUUGCAUCAGAGAGUAUGGGGUAGUUUAAGUUCUAUACCUAGUGAUGCUGGUGCGCUAGAGUAGUUUCACCACAUGGCAAACGAAUAAAAAUAACAAGACAUGGACUAACAGCAAGAAGUUGGUGAAGAUAAACCAAAAAUAAGAGCAAGAAAAAUAAGGCAAGUCCGAGGGAAAAAGCCGCGACAUACAUACCUACGCUUAUAACCAAAUACUAAUCUCAUCUGUUUUAUAAAUUCUUUCUCUGAUACUUUUGACUCUUUAUUCGCCAUUUACCAACUAUUUAUAUUACCAACACAGAAGCAAAAGCACCGUCAACAUCAACAGUCAACAGGAGAGCAGCGUAGAGCCGAUAGCGACUAAUGUAAUGUAAGAUGGACGAUGAGGACUACUCAGACACGACAACCAAAACUAAAUCUUACCUUUUACUUCUUAAAGGUCCCUACGUUAUAAGUAUAAGUAUAAGUAACUCUGUCCUCGGUCCUCCCAAUACAACCUAAAAAGCAAACUCUCAACUUAUACCUUUCGCGUUUUUACGUUCACAGAUUACCUAUACCUAUACCUACUUAUUCUUUACUACCUGGCGCUGAAGCUGAGUCGAUACGACUUACAGGCCCGGCUAAUGUAAGUUUACUAGUCCUCAGUCUGUAGUCCAGACCGUGGCCCCCUGGUUUAAAAGUACUUGGUUACAUUCUUCGGCCUCCGGACCGAUGAAUAUUUUUUCUUCACCCAGACAAUUCUUAUCCUCUAGCAACAAUUGUACAUACUUGCUAUUUAUUAUCGGUACCUUUUUUUUUUCACUUUCUCACCGAUUGUUCUGCUUCAUCUUCUUAUUGUUCUUCUUCGGCGGCAAUAUUUCAUCACCGAUCGAUGAUCAAGUCCGUUAGAUUAAAGCCCAGCCAUUGAAAUUAGCCACGGUUCUGUAUUUUAAAGUAAAGGGUUGCCGUUCUGAGCGACUGCUUCUCAAACUAAACCCUUAUUCACCGGUUGAAUGCACCUACUCGAACAUUAUUGUAUUUAUGUACAUACUUUUCUGAUCAUACAUACCUCCCGGCAUGUAUAAUAUUAUUUAUAUAAUACACAUAUGCUGGUUGUAUAUAUGUUAUAUAAAUCAAGUUAAGAGCCGACUCUUUAGACAGUGUGUACUUUGUAAAUCCAGUAUCCAAAACAGCUUUACUUUUAACUUUAAAUACAUUAUUGAUUAAUUAUCAAUACUUGUUUAAAUUUAAAGACUCUUUUAUGUAUUUGCGAUGACGUAAUUGCAGGACCGUGUCCUCAGUAGUUUUUUUAUCACAAGAUUGAGAUAAGUAUGUAUAUUGGAGGCAAAAGGCGGGUAUUAAUGGCCCCGACAUAUUUUCAUGCCUCGUCGAGCUGAGAGUUCCCAGCAACCACAUAGUAAUAUUUAAAUUUAUCAAAUUUAUAAUUGUAUUGUUCUCUUGUAUGACAAAUUUUAAUUUUUCAUAUUAUAUUACUCUCUAUAUUAGAAUGACAUCACUCGACAAUUGAAAUUGUACCUUAAUAAGUUAAAAAAAUUGGAGUGGUGAGCGCAAUCGACAAAAGUGUAGCCAGGUGCUCAAUCCAACUGCUUUUUUAUUAGUAUUAGCAUUAUUAUUGUUAUAAAUAUACUUUGAUUAUUGUUAUUAAGUUAUUCAUGAAUUCAGUUAAUCGCGUUUUGCACCUAUACAACAGAAAGUACGUCUACUGGUAUCGGUAUAGUAGAUAUAAAAUAUAAUAUACCUGGUCUAGCUGGUUUUUAGUUUGGUCUUUUUACUCGAUGCGUUGCGUUAUAGCGUUAUAUAUUUAUAUAUCAUCUUUUUCAUGGGUCUGUAUUUAAAAUAAAUACGUAUGUAUGUGUAUGAGUGUAAUCGAAGCUAAUUUCGCAGAAAAACCGUCCCAGGUAACGAGCAUAAAUUCUUUAUUUGACCACCCAUCAUUUAGCUUUACCUUAUCCCCGAUCUCCACCGGCCUAUGGUCCGCAUAGCAGCAUUUAAAUCUUAUUAAUUUCGUUUUUUAUUUUAUUUUAUUUUUUUUUUAUUUAGUCCACCAGAUACUAGACCCGCGGCUGGGUAAUACGAGGACACGUCACAUGAUUUUAAACCAAAAACCCGGCAUCCAAUAUUUUUAAUUAUCAUUCGACAGUCGACAAGUCUAGACUACUUUAAGAGCAAGUAACCUUUUGCGAGCGAUAUAUACAUUUGUAUGUAAGUCCCAAAUUAUUAUAUUAAUACCAAUCGAGUUUUAUUAUUAUCGUGUAUAUGUUUACUUGCCUCGAAGUAUUUUUUUUAUGGAUAUGGAUAUUAAUAAUAACAUAAAAUACGUAUAUUUGUAUCAGUAUUUAAUACCGAGUUUCUGCUUUCAU
rnacentral:lncRNA from 1 species